AUACUAUUUUAAGUUUCAAAUGCGUGAAGAUGCAUUUUAAAUUAUUAUCUCUACACACGAUAAAAGGAAGAAAAACUUUCAAAUAGCGUAGAUAAAAGUAGCUUCUUAUUUCAUCUCAUUUUACGAGACAUUGCAAUAUUAUUCGCAUUUGAAAAUGUCAUCUUUUAAAAUUCAAACCUGGUUUCUAAUUGGUAUCGCUGUUUGCUUACUUUCAGCUCAUCUGCUGUCUGCCGACGACUCUUCAAGCAUAUUUGAUAAAAUUCUCUCAGGGGAUAUCCCAUUCGGAGUUUAUCAAUUUGCAAAAGAUAUUGCGAAAGCUUUAAGUGGAUUAUUAAUGUCUAAUGGAGUAUUAUCAGACGGAAGUGGAUAAAAAAAAAUGUUCGAGAACAGACAAUAAUAUUGCCACAUAUAUACACACAGAAUCCAGAUUACUGAUAACACAGAUUUAUUGAACACUUCCGACAUGCAUGGAACAAGAUAACUGCUUUUCUACUUGAAACGCCAGAACUUAUGUACAAUUAAAUAAGGAACAGGAAGUGAUGUAAUAGAAGCGUCUAGAAGACAUUCAUAUAAUUAAUAAAAUCUUAAACACCCUA